rnacentral:rRNA from 1 species
UACGUAGGGGGCUAGCGUUGUCCGGAAUCAUUGGGCGUAAAGAGCGUGUAGGCGGCCCGGUAAGUCCGCUGUAAAAGUCAAAGGCUCAACCUUUGAAUGUCAGUGGAUACUGCCGGGCUAGAGUCCGGAAGAGGCGAGUGGAAUUCCUGGUGUAGCGGUGAAAUGCGCAGAUAUCAGGAGGAACACCAAUGGCGAAGGCAGCUCGCUGGGACGGUACUGACGCUGAGACGCGAAAGCGUGGGGGAGCAAACAGG